GAUGAACGCUGGCGGCGUGCCUAAUACAUGCAAGUCGAGCGAACGGACGAGAAGCUUGCUUCUCUGAUGUUAGCGGCGGACGGGUGAGUAACACGUGGAUAACCUACCUAUAAGACUGGGAUAACUUCGGGAAACCGGAGCUAAUACCGGAUGAUAUUUUGAACCGCAUGGUUCAAAAGUGAAAGACGGUCUUGCUGUCACUUAUAGAUGGAUCCGCGCUGCAUUAGCUAGUUGGUAAGGUAACGGCUUACCAAGGCAACGAUGCAUAGCCGACCUGAGAGGGUGAUCGGCCACACUGGAACUGAGACACGGUCCAGACUCCUACGGGAGGCAGCAGUAGGGAAUCUUCCGCAAUGGGCGAAAGCCUGACGGAGCAACGCCGCGUGAGUGAUGAAGGUCUUCGGAUCGUAAAACUCUGUUAUUAGGGAAGAACAUAUGUGUAAGUAACUGUGCACAUCUUGACGGUACCUAAUCAGAAAGCCACGGGCUACUACGUGCCAGCAGCCGCGGUAAUACGUAGGUGGCAAGCGUUAUCCGGAAUUAUUGGGCGUAAAGCGCGCGUAGGCGGUUUUUUAAGUCUGAUGUGAAAGCCCGCGGCUCAACCGUGGAGGGUCAUUGGAAACUGGAAAACUUGAGUGCAGAAGAGGAAAGUGGAAUUCCAUGUGUAGCGGUGAAAUGCGCAGAGAUAUGGAGGAACACCAGUGGCGAAGGCGACUUUCUGGUCUGUAACUGACGCUGAUGUGCGAAAGCGUGGGGAUCAAACAGGAUUAGAUACCCUGGUAGUCCACGCCGUAAACGAUGAGUGCUAAGUGUUAGGGGGUUUCCGCCCCUUAGUGCUGCAGCUAACGCAUUAAGCACUCCGCCUGGGGAGUACGACCGCAAGGUUGAAACUCAAAGGAAUUGACGGGGACCCGCACAAGUGGUGGAGCAUGUGGUUUAAUUCGAAGCAACGCGAAGAACCUUACCAAAUCUUGACAUCCUUUGACAACUCUAGAGAUAGAGCCUUCCCCUUCGGGGGACAAAGUGACAGGUGGUGCAUGGUUGUCGUCAGCUCGUGUCGUGAGAUGUUGGGUUAAGUCCCGCAACGAGCGCAACCCUUAAGCUUAGUUGCCAUCAUUAAGUUGGGCACUCUAAGUUGACUGCCGGUGACAAACCGGAGGAAGGUGGGGAUGACGUCAAAUCAUCAUGCCCCUUAUGAUUUGGGCUACACACGUGCUACAAUGGACAAUACAAAGGGCAGCGAAACCGCGAGGUCAAGCAAAUCCCAUAAAGUUGUUCUCAGUUCGGAUUGUAGUCUGCAACUCGACUACAUGAAGCUGGAAUCGCUAGUAAUCGUAGAUCAGCAUGCUACGGUGAAUACGUUCCCGGGUCU
rnacentral:rRNA from 1 species